rnacentral:rRNA from 1 species
UACGGAGGGUGCGAGCGUUGUCCGGAAUCACUGGGCGUAAAGGGCGCGUAGGCGGCUUCUUAAGCGUGCGGUGAAAGCUCGGGGCUCAACCCCGAGUCGGCCGUGCGAACUGGGGAGCUCGAGCACUGUAGAGGCAGGUGGAAUUCCGGGAGUAGCGGUGGAAUGCGUAGAGAUCCGGAAGAACACCGGUGGCGAAGGCGGCCUGCUGGGCAGUGGCUGACGCUGAGGCGCGACAGCGUGGGGAGCAAACAGG